rnacentral:misc_RNA from 1 species
AGAACAUUAAGCACUAAUUCUGAUACAGCAAGAACUGUCAACAAUGUGCACAAAGAAAAAGGAUAGUGUUGAAUAAUACAUUGUACAGGAAGUUACAUGUAUGCGAUAAUUGUUAAUUUCUAGACACAAACGCGUGUGUGGUUAUGUACACACAGUGAGAUGCACCAUUUAAAAAGGUACCUUCUAAUUAUGCCCUGCAAUUGU